AUACGUAGGUGACAAGCGUUAUCCGGAUUUACUGGGCGUAAAGGGCGUGUAGGCGGUCUUGCAAGUCAGAAGUGAAAUUCCUGAGCUCAACUCGGGCGCUGCUUCUGAAACUGCAGGACUUGAGUGCUGGAGGGGAUAGCGGAAUUCCUAGUGGAGCGGUAAAAUGCGCAGAUAUUAGGAAGAACACCGGUGGCGAAGGCGGCUUUCUGGACCGUAAAGGACGCUGAGGCGCGAAAGCGUGGGGAGAAAACCGGAUUGGAUACCCUGGUACCCCACGCCGUAAACGAUGAAUACUAGGUGUAGGGGGUAUCGACUCCCUCUGUGCCGCAGUUCACACAAUAAGUAUUCCGCCUGGGGAGUACGGCCGCAAGGUUGCAACUCACAUGAACUGACGGGG
rnacentral:rRNA from 1 species